UAGCGGCACCAGGGGUGCUUGCCCUGUUUCCACCCCUAGCGAAGCUGGGGUUGUUGACAGGAGCAGGCUGAGAAAGUCCCUUUGAACCUGAGCAGGAUAAUGCCUGCGUAGGGAGUGUGCUUUUUUUUUUCU
rfam:Picea glauca, whole genome shotgun sequence.